UACGUAGGGGGCAAGCAUUGUCCGGAUUUAUUGGGCGUAAAGAGCGUGUAGGCGGCCUGACAGGUCAGCUGUGAAAACUCGAGGCUCAACCUCGAGACGUCGGUUGAAACCAUCUGGCUAGAGUCCGGAAGAGGAGUGUGGAAUUCCCGGUGUAGCGGUGAAAUGCGCAGAUAUCGGGAAGAACACCCGUGGCGAAGGCGGCACUCUGGGACGGUACUGACGCUGAGACGCGAAAGCGUGGGGAGCGAACAGG
rnacentral:rRNA from 1 species